rnacentral:rRNA from 1 species
GACGAACGCUGGCGGCGUGCUUAACACAUGCAAGUCGAACGGAAAGGCCCUGCUUUUGUGGGGUGCUCGAGUGGCGAACGGGUGAGUAACACGUGAGUAACCUGCCCUUGACUUUGGGAUAACUUCAGGAAACUGGGGCUAAUACCGGAUAGGAGCUCCUGCUGCAUGGUGGGGGUUGGAAAGUUUCGGCGGUUGGGGAUGGACUCGCGGCUUAUCAGCUUGUUGGUGGGGUAGUGGCUUACCAAGGCUUUGACGGGUAGCCGGCCUGAGAGGGUGACCGGCCAAAUGGGGAAGGAGAAAGGGCCCAGACUCCAAGGGGGGGAAGGAGGGGGGAAAAUGGAAAAAGGGGCGGAAGCCGGAGGCAGCAACGCCGGGGGGGGGAUGAGGGCCUUGGGGUGGGAAACGCUUUUCGCCGGGGAAGAAGGGGGGGGGAGGGUAAGGGGUAAAAAAACACGGGCAAAAUACGU